UACAGAGGAUGCAAGCGUUAUCCGGAAUGAUUGGGCGUAAAGCGUCCGCAGGUGGUUUUGUAAGUCUGCUGUUAAAGCGUUAGGCUCAACCUAAUAAGGGCAGUGGAAACUAUGAGACUAGAGUAUGUUAGGGGUAGAGGGAAUUCCCAGUGUAGCGGUGAAAUGCGUAGAGAUUGGGAAGAACACCGGUGGCGAAAGCGCUCUGCUAGGACAAGACUGACACUGAGGGACGAAAGCUAGGGGAGCGAAUGGG
rnacentral:rRNA from 1 species